UGGGGGUUUAGCUCAGUUGGUAGAGCGCCUGCUUUGCAAGCGGGAUGUCAGCGGUUCGAGUCCGCUAACCUCC
rnacentral:tRNA from 1 species